UGGCUCUCUUUCCAUCAUGUGAGGACACAAGGAGAAGCUGGCAAUCUGUAACCUAUAAGAGAGCCCUCGCUAGAACCUGAUCUUGCUGGCACCCUGACCUUGGACUUCCAGCCUCCAGAAUGUGAGGAAUAAAUAUUUGUUGUUUAAGCUACCCAAUGGUGGACCUCCACAGGAACAAAUCAUAUCCAUGUCAGGCGGCACCAAACCUAAAUCUGCUUCUGCCUCAGCAGACAGGACAUGUUGAGUUUGGCCAGUGAGUGCUGCAGGAUACUGGAGGGAGGGCAACAGAGAGGAAGGUCACCUACAUGUCUAUGUUCAGAAGCUGCCUUGAUGCCACAUGCGGGAGGCUGGAAACGCUGAAGGAUGACCACUGCUCAGCAGCAGUCUACCAGUGAUGGAUGAGAGUUGGUGCACAAAUACCCCAGCUCCCUUGCCUCUCAGUUUGGAUAAUCCUGAAAAGGUGUGUACUAUGCUAUUUCUGAGAUUAAGCCCUAGUUACCCAUAGUGGUAGCUAAAUAUAGUAGUUGGCUGUAUUCUCCAUCACUUCUUGAAUCCCCUGCCAGUGUUCUCUGCACCUCCUUAAUAAACCACUUGAAACAAAAA
ensembl:lncRNA novel transcript